rnacentral:rRNA from 1 species
UACGGGGGGAGCAAGCGUUGUUCGGAUUUACUGGGCGUAAAGGGCGCGUAGGCGGCGCAACAAGUCACUUGUGAAAUCUCCGGGCUUAACCCGGAGCGGUCAAGUGAUACUGUCGUGCUAGAGUGCGGAAGGGGCUACUGGAAUUCUCGGUGUAGCGGUGAAAUGCGUAGAUAUCGAGAGGGAACACCUGGCGGCGAAGGCGGGUAGCUGGGCCGACACUGACGGCUGAUG